CGGGACACGUGGUAUCCUGUCUGAAUAUGGGGGGACCAUCCUCCAAGGCUAAAUACUCCUGACUGACCGAUAGUGAACCAGUACCGUGAGGGAAAGGCGAAAAGAACCCCGGCGAGGGGAGUGAAAAAGAACCUGAAACCGUGUACGUACAAGCAGUGGGAGCACGCUUAGGCGUGUGACUGCGUACCUUUUGUAUAAUGGGUCAGCGACUUAUAUUCUGUAGCAAGGUUAACCGAAUAGGGGAGCCGAAGGGAAACCGAGUCUUAACUGGGCGUUAAGUUGCAGGGUAUAGACCCGAAACCCGGUGAUCUAGCCAUGGGCAGGUUGAAGGUUGGGUAACACUAACUGGAGGACCGAACCGACUAAUGUUGAAAAAUUAGCGGAUGACUUGUGGCUGGGGGUGAAAGGCCAAUCAAACCGGGAGAUAGCUGGUUCUCCCCGAAAGCUAUUUAGGUAGCGCCUCGUGAAUUCAUCUCCGGGGGUAGAGCACUGUUUCGGCAAGGGGGUCAUCCCGACUUACCAACCCGAUGCAAACUGCGAAUACCGGAGAAUGUUAUCACGGGAGACACACGGCGGGUGCUAACGUCCGUCGUGAAGAGGGAAACAACCCAGACCGCCAGCUAAGGUCCCAAAGUCAUGGUUAAGUGGGAAACGAUGUGGGAAGGCCCAGACAGCCAGGAUGUUGGCUUAGAAGCAGCCAUCAUUUAAAGAAAGCGUAAUAGCUCACUGGUCGAGUCGGCCUGCGCGGAAGAUGUAACGGGGCUAAACCAUGCACCGAAGCUGCGGCAGCGACGCUUAUGCGUUGUUGGGUAGGGGAGCGUUCUGUAAGCCUGUGAAGGUGUGCUGUGAGGCAUGCUGGAGGUAUCAGAAGUGCGAAUGCUGACAUAAGUAACGAUAAAGCGGGUGAAAAGCCCGCUCGCCGGAAGACCAAGGGUUCCUGUCCAACGUUAAUCGGGGCAGGGUGAGUCGACCCCUAAGGCGAGGCCGAAAGGCGUAGUCGAUGGGAAACAGGUUAAUAUUCCUGUACUUGGUGUUACUGCGAAGGGGGGACGGAGAAGGCUAUGUUGGCCGGGCGACGGUUGUCCCGGUUUAAGCGUGUAGGCUGGUUUUCCAGGCAAAUCCGGAAAAUCAAGGCUGAGGCGUGAUGACGAGGCACUACGGUGCUGAAGCAACAAAUGCCCUGCUUCCAGGAAAAGCCUCUAAGCAUCAGGUAACAUCAAAUCGUACCCCAAACCGACACAGGUGGUCAGGUAGAGAAUACCAAGGCGCUUGAGAGAACUCGGGUGAAGGAACUAGGCAAAAUGGUGCCGUAACUUCGGGAGAAGGCACGCUGAUAUGUAGGUGAAGUCCCUCGCGGAUGGAGCUGAAAUCAGUCGAAGAUACCAGCUGGCUGCAACUGUUUAUUAAAAACACAGCACUGUGCAAACACGAAAGUGGACGUAUACGGUGUGACGCCUGCCCGGUGCCGGAAGGUUAAUUGAUGGGGUCAGCGCAAGCGAAGCUCUUGAUCGAAGCCCCGGUAAACGGCGGCCGUAACUAUAACGGUCCUAAGGUAGCGAAAUUCCUUGUCGGGUAAGUUCCGACCUGCACGAAUGGCGUAAUGAUGGCCAGGCUGUCUCCACCCGAGACUCAGUGAAAUUGAACUCGCUGUGAAGAUGCAGUGUACCCGCGGCAAGACGGAAAGACCCCGUGAACCUUUACUAUAGCUUGACACUGAACAUUGAGCCUUGAUGUGUAGGAUAGGUGGGAGGCUUAGAAGUGUGGACGCCAGUCUGCAUGGAGCCGACCUUGAAAUACCACCCUUUAAUGUUUGAUGUUCUAACGUUGACCCGUAAUCCGGGUUGCGGACAGUGUCUGGUGGGUAGUUUGACUGGGGCGGUCUCCUCCUAAAGAGUAACGGAGGAGCACGAAGGUUGGCUAAUCCUGGUCGGACAUCAGGAGGUUAGUGCAAUGGCAUAAGCCAGCUUGACUGCGAGCGUGACGGCGCGAGCAGGUGCGAAAGCAGGUCAUAGUGAUCCGGUGGUUCUGAAUGGAAGGGCCAUCGC
rnacentral:rRNA from 1 species